UCCCACCACCACAUACCACUAACGUGCAAUCAGUAAUUAAAAAAAGUAAUAAAAUAUAUUAUGCACUUCAAUAUUUAACUGCAACGGACAACGAUAAGGGCCGGAGCGUUGUUGUUACUGCAACUACAAGAUAUUUAAAAUGGAAAAUAGAUCAAGAUUGAAGGAGAGAGGAGUCACAACACCAGGAACUUAUUUGAGACAUUAGUUCUGAAUUAUUUUUCGUGUUCCUAUUAGUUAAAGACAUGGGCAUAAUAACAUACAUACACUAUCUAAUGGAAAAUAAUAUACUUCCAAACUAU